rnacentral:rRNA from 1 species
GACGAACGCUGGCGGCGUGCUUAACACAUGCAAGUCGAACGCUGAAGCUCAGCUUUUGUUGGGUGGAUGAGUGGCGAACGGGUGAGUAACACGUGAGUAACCUGCCCCCUUCUUUGGGAUAACGCCCCGAAACGGGUGCUAAUACUGGAUAUUCACUGGUCUUCGCAUGGGGGUUGGUGGAAAGGGUUUUUCUGGUGGGGGAUGGGCUCGCGGCCUAUCAGCUUGUUGGUGGGGUGAUGGCCUACCAAGGCUUUGACGGGUAGCCGGCCUGAGAGGGUGACCGGUCACAUUGGGACUGAGAUACGGCCCAGACUCCUACGGGAGGCAGCAGUGGGGAAUAUUGCACAAUGGGCGCAAGCCUGAUGCAGCGACGCCGCGUGAGGGAUGGAGGCCUUCGGGUUGUGAACCUCUUUCGCUCAUGGUCAAGCCGCAACAAUGGUUGUGGUGAGGGUAGUGGGUAAAGAAGCGCCGGCUAACUACGUG